GUGAUGAUACAGAACAAAGAGAACACAUCGGCACAAUAGAAUAGAAUACCUGGGACAGCGGUUGGAAAUGAUUUUGUCAUCAAAUAGAGCACCCAAAAGUGUAAAAAGUUUGACUAUAUCUUCUGGAAAGAAUUUCAAAAGAAUUAUUAUUUCUUUCCCGCACCUUUAUGUUACAGAAUUUCACAUAGCAGUGAAAUAUGAAAUACAGAUUAGAAAUGUAAAAUAGGAACUGCCAUUGCAACCUUCAUAUAUCAUACUUAAUGCAAGAACCUUUUAGACAAAUAUUACAUUAUACAAGUGUAUAAAUUAUCAUUAGGCCUUCUAAAUUUAGAUACAACUAUUUAAUUGAAUCCAAGGUGUUGGAAUAAAUUAUUAAAGAGUGUUCAAUCUUCCACCCCUGUGAAAUCCUGACAAACAGAAUACAUUCUGGGUCAUAUCAGCAGCAAUACUGCAAAAGACAAAGGAGAGCUUUGAUUUUACAAAUGGAAAUGGAAAUACUUUCAUAGUAUUUAAAAAAGGAAAUUGUCCAAGGAAAAAAUCUUAAAUCUCCCCAAAUUAAGACAGUAUCAUUGAUUAUUUAACAUAUUUCUUGAAUUUUAGUAAAAAAGGAAAAAGAAGAAAGAAGUAAUAACUGGAAACAUGAUAAGGACAGGUUCUUGGAAAUAAUAAGGCAGAACCUACUCUAACAAAAUCUAAUGGGCCACAGGGUUGCCAGACUUAUUUCUGAAUCUAGACCUUUGGUCGAAUGUUGCUUAAAUAUUUCUUUUCAAAUGUAAAAUUGGUACCAGGUCCUAGAGGCUGGCUGAUUCCACAGAUGGAGACCAACUGGGGAUGUAUUCCCAAGAGAGGGAAUUCUGUCUUGAGAGUUCUACCUUUUCAAUGCAAAUCUUUUUAUGUAAAUGAAGCUGAAUAUAAUGAGAGUUUUGAUGUGUGAGGAAUAAUAUUUAAUGCAAGAGUCAAGAUCAGGACAGGGAUGCUUUGGAAUUCAUUUUAAAGCAUUCUACAUGUAGAAUAAAUGGUUUUCUAUACAUUAAGUUAAUAAGAGCAAUUGAAAGAUCCCAAAGAUUUAAAAGGUGAGUUUUAUUAGAAUUAUUUUAGUGGUAAAAAGAUUUUCAUGUGAAAUGAUUAGAAUCAGGGAAUACACUUAGAAACCUAUUGCAAUGUUUCCAAGAUUCUUGAAAUUGAUGUUAUCUUGAAAUUUUAAUUAAUGUGUUUUUUUUGUGUGCAUCCUUGUGUUUUGUCUUCCUCGAUUCAUUCUGAGGUCUUGAAGAAAAUAAGGACAAUUAAGGAAAAAAUGCAAAGAACCAACUGACGCUGUUUUUGAGAUACAAAACAAAUUUCAAAACUUGUUAGAGGGCCAUAGUCCUGCGAGCUAUGGUUUUCAAGAUAAGGAUUGAUAAUGUUAGUGGAAAUCAGUGAUUUGUAUAAAGAGCAUGGGUUCUUUUUAGAAUGGCAGAUUUAGAAGUGCAUACUUAACAGGGAUGUUUUUCCUUUACUCAGGAAGCACAGAGGACAACAAAACAGAGCAGCUCCUUUGUUAUGGGGAGGAGAAAAUGAGACAGAGAACAGCAAAGCCCAAUGACGUUUAGAUUCUUGAGGCUUCUUUCUCUUACCUGGUGUCCAAAGCUAGAGGAAUGGAAGAAAUGUCCCAUCUAGUCAUCUCAGAAAUACAUAGAUAUACAACUUCUAUAUUCAGGGAAGGAAAAUAAAAAUUCCAGAAAGCAAAGAGACAGCCAGUGAAGUGGAG
rnacentral:lncRNA from 1 species